UACGAAGGGGGCGAGCGUUGUUCGGAAUUACUGGGCGUAAAGGGCGCGCAGGCGGCCCUUGAAGUCAGGCGUGAAAGCCCCGGGCUCAACCUGGGAGGUGCGCUUGAUACUCGAGGGCUUGAGUGCGGGAGAGGAGAGUGGAAUUCCCAGUGUAGAGGUGAAAUUCGUAGAUAUUGGGAAAAACACCGGUGGCGAAGGCGGCCACCUGGACCAACACUGACACUGAGGCACGAAAGCGUGGGGAGCAAACAGG
rnacentral:rRNA from 1 species